rnacentral:rRNA from 1 species
GUGUCAGCCGCCGCGGUAAUACGGGGGGGGCAAGCGUUGUCCGGAAUUAUUGGGCGUAAAGGGCGCGUAGGCGGAAUGGUAAGUCAGAGGUGAAAAUCUUGCGCUUAACGCAGGAACUGCCUUUGAUACUGCUAUUCUUGAGUGCGGAAGAGGGAAGCGGAAUUCCCGGUGUAGCGGUGAAAUGCGUAGAUAUCGGGAAGAACACCGGUAGCGUAAGCGGCUUCCUGGUCCGUUACUGACGCUGAGGCGCGAAAGUGUGGGGAGCAAACAGGAUUAGAUACCCCAGUAGUCC